AUUGAACGCUGGCGGCAGGCCUAACACAUGCAAGUCGAGCGAGCGGCGGACGGGUGAGUAAUGUCUGGGAAACUGCCUGAUGGAGGGGGAUAACUACUGGAAACGGUAGCUAAUACCGCAUACCAUCAGAUGUGCCCAGAUGGGAUUAGCUAGUAGGUGGGGUAAUGGCUCACCUAGGCGACGAUCGCUAGCUGGUCUGAGAGGAUGACCAGCCACACUGGAACGGGGACACGGGCCAGACUCCUAAGGGGGGCAGCAGUGGGGAAUAUUGCACAAAGGGGGGAAGCCUGAAGCAGCCAUGCCGCGUGUGUGAAGAAGGCCUUCGGGUUGUAAAGCACAUUCAGCGGGGAGGCGUUACCCGCAGAAGAAGCACCGGCUAACUCCGUGCCAGCAGCCGCGGUAAUUC
rnacentral:rRNA from 1 species